AAAUGCUAUUUCUCUAUUCUACCAAUAGCCUAUCUAUGCUCCACUACCUCAAAGCUCUCAGGAAUAGAAAAAUGAACUCAUUUCUCUGGGCGGCUGAUAAGAAUCACAGAUAUUCUCCUCUUCUGUUAUGGGCUCUAAGAAGAAAGAAAAUGAAAGAAAGCCCACAGAGGUAUUCAGACAGGUAAGAAAAGAACCAUGAAUACCAUAGGAGCAAAAAGAGGAGAAAGAUUCAAGGAAGAAAUUAUCAAAACUUAAAUGCUUCGAGGAAAGGGAUGACAAUAAAGACAGAAUAAACUGUAGAUUAUCCCUCAAGAAUAUUAUCAACAAUCUUUGACAGAAGGUUUUUACUAGAGAGACGUUCGAAAAAUAUUAAAAACCUGCCUCUUACUAACGGUAUUAGAUUGCAUUAUUUGUUCUCCAUUUUUCAUUUCUUCCUCGUUUUUGCAAUUUUUCUCAGGAGAAGGAACAUACGUCCAACUCCAGUGACUUUGGGCUUGGCCUUGUGACUUGUUUUGACCAACAAAGUAUGAGCAGACUUGACUCAAGCCACCUUCCAGGGGAGGCAUAAGCUGUGCUUGCAUGCUUCGGCUCUACCUCUCAUGUUCUGCCCACUCUCAUGAGAACAGCAUGACACAGAUGAAAGAUGCUCCUUCAGUCUGAAACCUGAAGAGAGAAGCUACAUAGAGCUAAGCCCAGCUGAGCCCAGCCCAGCCAAUACAGUGCAUUGACCUGCAGCUAUCUUACAAUAUGAGUCGGAAAUAGACAUUUGUUCUUGUAAGCUCUUGAGAUAAUAUGGUUGUUUGUUACCACAGCAAAAGCUAAUAAACCACCGUUAGAAAACAGAUAAAGUGUUUUAAAUUUUUAGAAUAUUUGGAAAUGAUGCUAAGUUUGUGAAGUUCCUUAAGGUAUGCAAAUGAAAAAUAAUUUACCUUAAUCAUUGUCAUAAACCUGAAUCAAAGUUUGAAAUAAAAAUCAUGCCUACUAGCCCUUACUUAAGUGAUUUAUAGACAAUGUAAAUCUUUGUAAACUACCUCAAAUAAUGUGAUAAACAAGAUAUAAAGCAGGCUUUCUUUUCAUUUGUCUCUGUGGGUUCUUUAACAGCUAUACAGCCAUACUCCCUGUACUUGGAUUUACCAUGGAAAACAUUUUCCCUCUCCGUUAUUGUUGGCAAAAGCUGCAUCUUUCUGGUCUGUUCAGUACUCGACAAUUUGUACUGCCAAUUAUGCUAUUACAAUGUCUCUUAAGGUUUCCUCCACUGCUCCUUUAUUCUUGGUACCUCCUUUGUGAUUUCAGAGUCGUUUUAUGGAAUUGUAAUGUGGCUCUUGACAUAUAAUUGAAGCAUGUUAAAUUACCCUGGCUUAAAUAAACAACUUACC
rnacentral:lncRNA from 10 species